GAUGAACGCUGGCGGCGUGCCUAAUACAUGCAAGUCGAGCGAACAGAUGAGGAGCUUGCUCCUCUGACGUUAGCGGCGGACGGGUGAGUAACACGUGGAUAACCUACCUAUAAGACUGGGAUAACUUCGGGAAACCGGAGCUAAUACCGGAUAAUAUAUUGAACCGCAUGGUUCAAUAGUGAAAGACGGUUUUGCUGUCACUUAUAGAUGGAUCCGCGCCGCAUUAGCUAGUUGGUAAGGUAACGGCUUACCAAGGCAACGAUGCGUAGCCGACCUGAGAGGGUGGUAGGCCACACGGGACGUGAGACCCGGCCAAGACUCCGACGGGGGGCAGCAGUAGGGAAUCUUCCGCAAGGGGCGAAACCCUGACGGACCAACGCCGCGUGAGUGAGAAAGGUCUUCGGUUCGAAAAACUCUUUUAUUAGGGAAAAACAAAUGUGAAAGUAACUAUGCCCGUCUUGACGGUCCUUAAUAAAAAACCCCCGGCAAACUCCGUC
rnacentral:rRNA from 1 species